rnacentral:rRNA from 1 species
ACUCCUACGGGAGGCAGCAGUAGGGAAUCUUCCACAAUGGACGCAAGUCUGAUGGAGCAACGCCGCGUGAGUGAAGAAGGCUUUCGGGUCGUAAAACUCUGUUGUUGGAGAAGAAUGGUCGGCAGAGUAACUGUUGUCGGCGUGACGGUAUCCAACCAGAAAGCCACGGCUAACUACGUGCCAGCAGCCGCGGUAAUACGUAGGUGGCAAGCGUUAUCCGGAUUUAUUGGGCGUAAAGCGAGCGCAGGCGGUUUUUUAAGUCUGAUGUGAAAGCCCUCGGCUUAACCGAGGAAGCGCAUCGGAAACUGGGAAACUUGAGUGCAGAAGAGGACAGUGGAACUCCAUGUGUAGCGGUGAAAUGCGUAGAUAUAUGGAAGAACACCAGUGGCGAAGGCGGCUGUCUGGUCUGUAACUGACGCUGAGGCUCGAAAGCAUGGGUAGCGAACAGGAUUAGAUACCCUGGUAGGCGUAGU